GACGGGUAUCAAUUGAAAGAGCUAAACAAGAAUUGUAGAUGAACUUCUGUAAUAAAAAUAAUAAAAGCUAAAUCAAAUCAAAACUCAUCUUUUUGGGGUCUAAAACAUCAAGUCUGGCGUUGUUAGAAAAAUAUUGUGCAUUGAAUAAACAUCCACACGUAAGUUCUAUAGAAGACGCUCUUGAAUAUAAGAGUUUCUUG